UACGUAGGGUGCGAGCGUUGUCCGGAAUUAUUGGGCGUAAAGGGCUCGUAGGCGGUUUGUCGCGUCGGGAGUGAAAUCCACUGGCUUAACUGGUGGCUUGCUUUCGAUACGGGCAGACUGGAGGUAUGCAGGGGAGAACGGAAUUCCUGGUGUAGCGGUGAAAUGCGCAGAUAUCAGGAGGAACACCGGUGGCGAAGGCGGCAUCCUGGACUGGUACUGACGCUCAUGAGCGAAAGCGUGGGGAGCGAUCCGG
rnacentral:rRNA from 1 species